rnacentral:lncRNA from 1 species
CGAUGGUCAGAUAUGCCUUGCCAUGUAGUGUGGUGAGUAAGAACUAGAGAAAGGAAAUGGUAAUUAUUACCUUCCUGAUGCCCGCAAAAUGCAGAAGCAACUGCGAUAGUCCCAUCCAUGGUCUCCACAACUGCAAAAGAAUGAAGAAGAUGGUUAACGAGGCACCCAAGUUACUUCAUAAUCUGCACAGGAUUUACCCAAAAUGUAGCGCCUAUGUAGAAAUAACUAUGAAAUGUGUAGAAGAAUCAUCACAUGAACAAAUAAACAAGACCCCCAUUAACUUGGAAUGAUGUGAACACUAGCAAGAUGCACGACAGACCUUGGAAGACUGACUGCGUGUAACUGGAGCAAAAAUCAAAUUGUGAAAUAGAGUACAUGACUGGCAGUCUCUACAGGUGUACGAUUAAGAGUACAUCGCUUUUUCAAAUGCUAUGCUAUGGUUUUGUGCGGUUUGCGCUGUUGGCAAAAGCAAAACUAAUAGAAUUCCCAGAUGUGGCAAAACUAGCAUAUUGUUCCCCCGGAGACUAACUAAGAAGGAAUUGAUCAUGAUAGGAUGUACUUGUAAAUUACUUGGACUUCCAGAACAGGAAUCAAACAUGACAAAUGUAACAACUGUUACAACUGAAAUAUCAUAACUAACUCCGUUGCCGGUGAAUCCCUCAUCUUCACUGCAGUGGCAAGAUAAAACCACACAGAAUAAUAAGCCUACACAGACUACAUGAUCAUAGUGUACUAAGCUAAAUCUACAAGGGGGGCAUUUCCAGGACCAAAAACAGCACCAAAUAGAUCAUGCGAUUCUAGCUAUGCAAGUCCCCAAGUCAUACAGCCAACUGACUCGUAAGCAGCCGAUGCUAUGAUCCAUUAGCAGGACCGACUGAACCUACCCCUACACUUCAGCACGCAGCCGCGCCAGCACACAGCAUAAUUCGGCAGUGAGAUCCAACAAACAAAAGCCCCACGGCAGACACACACACACACACACGCUUCAAGGGGAAGGGGAAUCUACCUGCUGCCGAACAGACGGGGAUAGGAAGAGCCGGUGGUGUCCCAAAUCUGGGCCUUGACGACCUUGCCGUCGACCUAGAGGGAGCGGGUGGCG